AAGCAGCGGAGCGUGUGGUUAAUUCGAUGCUACACGAAGACCUUACAGGUUUGACAUACAAGUAGUAGGGAAAGGGAAACCUGGACCGACCCUUCGGGGAGCUUAUACAGGUGUUGCAUGGCUGUCGUCAGCUCGUGUCGUGAGAUGUUCGGUUAAGUCCGCUAACGAGCGCAACCCUCGUCGUAUGUUAUAUGUGUCAUACGAGACUGCCGGUAAAAAGCCGGAGGAAGGUGAGGAUGAUGUCAAGUCAGCAUGACCUUUAUAUCCAGGGCUACACACACGCUACAAUGGUCUGUACAAUGGGUAGCCAAGCCGCGAGGCGGAGCCAAUCCUGAAAGCAGGCCUCAGUUCAGAUUGCAGUCUGCAACUCGACUGCAUGAAGCCGGAGUUGCUAGUAACCGCAGGUCAGCAAUACUGCGGUGAAUACGUUCCCGGGUCUU
rnacentral:rRNA from 1 species